AGAUUGGACGCUGGCGGCAGGCCUAACACAUGCAAGUCGAGCGGCAGCACGGGUACUUGUACCUGGUGGCGAGCGGCGGACGGGUGAGUAAUGCCUAGGAAUCUGCCUGGUAGUGGGGGAUAACGCUCGGAAACGGACGCUAAUACCGCAUACGUCCUACGGGAGAAAGCAGGGGACCUUCGGGCCUUGCGCUAUCAGAUGAGCCUAGGUCGGAUUAGCUAGUUGGUGAGGUAAUGGCUCACCAAGGCGACGAUCCGUAACUGGUCUGAGAGGAUGAUCAGUCACACUGGAACUGAGACACGGUCCAGACUCCGUACGGGAGCAGCAGGUGGGGAAUAGUUGGAC
rnacentral:rRNA from 1 species